AAUAUACCUCGUUAGGUGAGGCUCCUGUACGGAGAAAUGCUGCUGCCCAAAAAUGUCCAAAGACGCCAAUGGGUCAACAGGAAUUAUCGACAUAAGGUAAUUCUUAACGUAGCUGGUUUUAGAACCUAUGCCGUACAGUGCUAAAGCUCUACGAAUGGAGGGUAUGA
rnacentral:sRNA from 2 species